rnacentral:rRNA from 1 species
GACGUAGGUGGCGAACGUUAUCCGGAAUUAUUGGGCGUAAAGAGCUCGUAGGCGGUCUGUCGCGUCUGCUGUGAAAACUCAGGGCUUAACCCUGAGCUUGCAGUGGGUACGGGCAGACUAGAGUGCGGUAGGGGAGACUGGAAUUCCUGGUGUAGCGGUGAAAUGCGCAGAUAUCAGGAGGAACACCGGUGGCGAAGGCGGGUCUCUGGGCCGUAACUGACGCUGAGGAGCGAAAGCAUGGGGAGCGAACAGG